AACGAACGCUGGCGGCAUGCCUAACACAUGCAAGUCGAACGAGACCUUCGGGUCUAGUGGCGCACGGGUGCGUAACGCGUGGGAACCUGCCCUUAGGUUCGGAAUAACUCCCCGAAAGGGGUGCUAAUACCGGAUAAUGUCUUCGGACCAAAGAUUUAUCGCCUUUGGAUGGGCCCGCGUUGGAUUAGCUAGUUGGUAGGGUAAAAGCCUACCAAGGCGACGAUCCAUAGCUGGUCUGAGAGGAUGAUCAGCCACACUGGGACUGAGACACGGCCCAGACUCCCAACGGAAGCAAGCGGGGGGAAUAUUGGACAAUGGGCGAAAGCCUGAUCCAGCAAUGCCGCGUGAGUGAUGAAGGCCUUAGGGUUGUAAAGCUCUUUUACCCGGGAUGAUAAUGACAGUACCGGGAGAAUAAGCUCCGGCUAACUCCGUG
rnacentral:rRNA from 1 species